AGUGGUGGGAUUACAGGUGUCAGCCACUGUGCCUGGCCCCCAGCCCAUUUUUCUCCUCUUCUUGCCUACCUUGGUUCCAUGAUAAAAGCUAUCUCCUUUGCCUAACGUUGACCCAUGCAGUGGUGGUGUGGGGAAUGGUUAGAAGAGCUUGAGUGUCUUUGGUUCAAAUUUAGGUAUGUUUUAAAAUUGUGUCGAUACAACUACAUCUCCUACUAAAGUUUACUAUUUUCAGUUCAGUCUUUAGAAAACAUCUCCUUAUUCAUUUGUCAUUUUCAGUUCAAUCUUUAGAAAACAAGCAGCCUUUCAGGAAAAUUUUCAAAGAGAUUUGGUUCUCAAAUUUUGUGUGCUUCUAAAUAUUCUUCAUACCUUUGUUUAAAAUGUAGCCACCUGAGCUCGCCUUUCUGUAGCUAUUUCAGUUUAUUAGCUUUGGAGUAAGAUGUCCCAUAUGUAUUUUCAGCAAGCCCCACCCCAGCUGCCAAAAAUAAUGCAAAAUCGAAUUUGAGCAUCGCUGCUAUAGAAUACAUUCUCUAUUUCUUCCAGUGGAGAGUUCCAUUCCUGAAAGUGGGAGAUACUGAGAUGGUGCAGCAGAAUUUGCAUUGCUGUUGGUAAUAUCAGUGAUUCUUAAUCAAAGAUAUGUAUGAGAAUCAACUGUGGUGCUUUUGAAGGUCAUCAGUAAAAACUGUCCAUGCUUUGGCUCCACCCACUGGCAAGUCUGUGAAAUACUUUUCAGGUGGGACCCACCUUGUCUUUUAAAGUAUCACAGGUGAUUUCUAUUUGGUAUAAUACGGUAUGAUUCAUCUACAGUGGAAGAAAAUGCCUGUUUUGGAUAGGAGUAUUUAGACUCAGGUUAAUAUGAAUUGAUUGUUAUUCAAAGAACUUGUAAAAGUAAUAUCUUGUAAAAGUCUAUAGAUUUAUUACAGCCUUUAAAAAAAUAUUGCCAGGACCCAAGCCCUGAAAAUAUGUUACGCUUUCUCCUUUCCUUACCGAAAUCACAUUUAAAUUCAGAAUCACCAGCGCUAGUUUACUUUCAAUUCAAGACAGCAAGCCUGAAAAUAGACUUAAUGACGCAUGCAGAGCAUUUUCCUAGGAACAGACUCUGCACUUAUUAGUGUGUGAAGCCAUCAGUCAAUACUCAUCUGGUGCACUGGUGUGUUGUAAGGGAUGCCAGGAAUGUGUGCCUUCUCUUAUCAGUCACCCAGAGAAUUCACGUAACUUGCUUUAAAUAGCCAAAGUGAAGAAGGAGAUUGACUUUACAGUUGUGUUUACUUCUUUAAAAAACAUACUUAUCUUUCUUAGCUGU